rnacentral:pre_miRNA from 1 species
GAGACAUCCCUAUGGAGCAGGUCUUGCUUCAGUGGGGCUUUGGUGCUCACUGAGUCUACCCCAUGAGUGCAUCACU